UGGGGAAUCUUAGACAAUGGGGGCAACCCUGAUCUAGCCAUGCCGCGUGAUCGAUGAAGGCCUUAGGGUUGUAAAGAUCUUUCAGGUGGGAAGAUAAUGACGGUACCACCAGAAGAAGCCCCGGCUAACUCCGUGCCAGCAGCCGCGGUAAUACGGAGGGGGCUAGCGUUAUUCGGAAUUACUGGGCGUAAAGCGCACGUAGGCGGACCAUCAAGUCAGAGGUGAAAUCCCAGGGCUCAACCCUGGAACUGCCUUUGAAACUGGCGGUCUUGAGUUCGAGAGAGGUGAGUGGAAUUCCGAGUGUAGAGGUGAAAUUCGUAGAUAUUCGGAGGAACACCAGUGGCGAAGGCGGCUCACUGGCUCGAUACUGACGCUGAGGUGCGAAAGCGUGGGGAGCAAACA
rnacentral:rRNA from 1 species